rnacentral:rRNA from 1 species
UACGGAAGGGGCAAGCGUUGUUCGGAAUCAUUGGGCGUAAAGGGCUCGUAGGCGGCCAACUAAGUCGGAUGUGAAAUCCCCAAGCUUAACUUGGGAACUGCAUCCGAUACUGGAUGGCUUGAAUCCGGGAGAGGGAUGCAGAAUUCCAGGUGUAGCGGUGAAAUGCGUAGAUAUCUGGAGGAAUACCGGUGGCGAAGGCGGCAUCCUGGACCGGCAUUGACGCUGAGUGAGCGAAAGCCAGGGGAGCAAACGGG